rnacentral:rRNA from 1 species
AAUAGAUACCCCGGUAGUCACGCCGUAAACGAUGAGUGCUAAGUGUUGGGGGGUUUCCGCCCCUCAGUGCUGCAGCUAACGCAUUGAGCACUCCGCCUGGGGAGUACGGUCGCAAGACUGAAACUCAAAGGAAUUGACGGGGGCCCGCACAAGCGGUGGAGCAUGUGGUUUAAUUCGAAGCAACGCGAAGAACCUUACCAGGUCUUGACAUCCCGGUGACCACUAUGGAGACAUAGUUUCCCCUUCGGGGGCAACGGUGACAGGUGAUGCAUGGUUGUCGUCAGCUCGUGUCGUGAGAUGUUGGGUUAAGUCCCGCAACGAGCGCAACCCUUAUUCUUAGUUGCCAUCAUUCAGUUGGGCACUCUAAGGAGACUGCCGGUGAUAAACCGGAGGAAGGUGGGGAUGACGUCAAAUCAUCAUGCCCCUUAUGACCGUGGGCUACACACGUGCUACAAUGGACGGUACAAACGGUUGCCAACCCGCGAGGGGGAGCUAAUCCGAUAAAACCGUUCUCAGUUCGGAUUGUAGGCUGCAACUCGCCUAC